rnacentral:tRNA from 1 species
GGGGAUUUAGCUCAGUGGUAGAGCGCUUGCCUAGGAAGCGCACGCAAGGCCCUGGGUUCGGUCCCCAGCUCCG